rnacentral:rRNA from 1 species
GUGUCAGCCGCCGCGGUAAGACAGAGGUGGCUAGCGUUGUUCGGUAUCACUGGGCUUAAAGCGUGUGUAGGCGGGAACGUAAGCAUUUUGUGAAAUCCCCCGGCUUAACCGGGGAAUUGCUUGAUGUACUGCGUUUCUUGAGGCAGGUAGGGGUGCGAGGAACUCUUGGUGGAGCGGUGGAAUGCGUAGAUAUCAAGAGGAACGCCGGUGGUGAAGACGUCGCACUGGGCCUGUCCUGACGCUGAGACACGAAAGCGUGGGGAGCGAACGGGAUUAGAUACCCGCGUAGUCC